AACGAACGCUGGCGGCAGGCUUAACACAUGCAAGUCGAGCGGGCCCUUCGGGGUCAGCGGCAGACGGGUGAGUAACGCGUGGGAAUCUACCCAUCCCUACGGAACAACUCCGGGAAACUGGAGCUAAUACCGUAUACGCCCUUAGGGGGAAAGAUUUAUCGGGGAUGGAUGAGCCCGCGUUGGAUUAGCUAGUUGGUGGGGUAAAGGCCUACCAAGGCGACGAUCCAUAGCUGGUCUGAGAGGAUGAUCAGCCACAUUGGGACUGAGACACGGCCCAAAGUCCUACGGGAGGCAGCAGUGGGGAAUAUUGGACAAUGGGCGCAAGCCUGAUCCAGCCAUGCCGCGUGAGUGAUGAAGGCCUUAGGGUUGUAAAGCUCUUUCAGUAGGGAAGAUAAUGACGGUACCUACAGAAGAAGCCCCGGCUAACUUCGUGCCAGCCGCCGCCGUAA
rnacentral:rRNA from 1 species